UAGAGUUUGAUCCUGGCUCAGGAUGAACGCUAGCUACAGGCUUAACACAUGCAAGUCGAGGGGCAGCAUAACGAAAGCUUGCUUUUGUUGAUGGCGACCGGCGCACGGGUGAGUAACGCGUAUCCAACCUUCCCCAUAGUAGAGAAUAGCCCGGCGAAAGUCAGAUUAAUGCUCUAUGUUGUAUCAUGAGGACCUCUGAAUAAUACCAAAGGUUUACCGCUAUGGGAUGGGGAUGCGUCUGAUUAGGUUGUUGGCGGGGUAACGGCCCACCAAGCCCGCGAUCAGUAGGGGUUCUGAGAGGAAGGUCCCCCACAUUGGAACUGAGACACGGUCCAAACUCCUACGGGAGGCAGCAGUGAGGAAUAUUGGUCAAUGGACGGAAGUCUGAACCAGCCAAGUAGCGUGCAGGAUGACGGCCCUAUGGGUUGUAAACUGCUUUUAUAUAGGGAUAAAGUCGGGGACGUGUCCCCGUUUGUAGGUACUAUAUGAAUAAGGACCGGCUAAUUCCGUGCCAGCAGCCGCGGUAAUACGGAAGGUCCGGGCGUUAUCCGGAUUUAUUGGGUUUAAAGGGAGCGCAGGCUGAUGAUUAAGCGUGACGUGAAAUGUAGCCGCUCAACGGCUGAACUGCGUCGCGAACUGGUUAUCUUGAGUGAGUUCGAUGUUGGCGGAAUUCGUGGUGUAGCGGUGAAAUGCUUAGAUAUCACGAAGAACUCCGAUUGCGAAGGCAGCCAACAAGGCCUUUACUGACGCUAAAGCUCGAAGGUGCGGGUAUCGAACAGGAUUACAUACCCUGGUAGUCCGC
rnacentral:rRNA from 1 species